AUUCUAGUGUUCCGUAUGUUGGGCUGUGACCCGCUGUGAAGAGCGCGGGAGGAGCUCGGAACCCGGACACGGUGACUAAAAGGCGCCGCCCCCUCUCGGGGAGAAUCUGUGGGAACCGGUAUGGUGUCCUCCCAGAGCUGUAGGAAACGGCCACCAAACACUGUGAGAUCACACUCGGGCUAUGCCACUUCCGGGAGCUAGGCGGAGAAUCAGCGGACACCCUAAUCACGUGGCUUCUUGGGGUGCGCCUGCGCAGAGCAUGGGAAGCGCGAACCCUUUCGUCUUGCGCGCGGUUUGUUGCAGGGCGCAGGCAUGAAAGAAUCCAUAUCGAAGAAACCCUAUACAUGUAAUCGAUGUGAUAAAGCCUUUUCAGAGAAGAAAAAUUUUGGUCAUGAAAGAAGUCAUACUGGAGAGAAACCUUAUUUAUGUUAUCAAUGUGGUAAAGUCUUUGCACAGAAGAGUAGUCUUCACAGGCUUGAACGAAGUCAUACUGGAAUGAAACCUAAUGGAUAUAAUCAAUUUGGUAUAAAUGUUGCAUAUAACAGUCACAUUCAACUCUCCAUUCAGGCUGCUAGAUUCUGUUCCUGUUCUUGCAGAGGACUGUUGUCUAGGACAGUGAUCUUGAAACUAUGCUUCAUACGCCUUCAUGGAAAAUCAAGCUUCUGUCCUCUGGAGAUUGUUUUUGUCAUCAUCUAGCGUUUGAACACAUUACAGCUUUACUCAGGCAAUC